rnacentral:sRNA from 1 species
GCACGGCCUCCGCCGAGUCCGGCACGCCCCACGGCGCCCGGAGCCGGGGACCCACCGAAUCUUGGGGUGAAUCGGCCGGACUUCCCACCCGGGCCGUAGGGCAACCCUUCCGAACCACCCGCCCGAACCCGACAGCUAACUCGGUAGGCGGAACGUGGAAGGAGUC